rnacentral:rRNA from 1 species
GACGAACGCUGGCGGCGUGCUUAACACAUGCAAGUCGAACGGAAAGGCCCUGCUUUUGUGGGGUGCUCGAGUGGCGAACGGGUGAGUAACAAGUGAGUAACCUGCCCUUGACUUUGGGAUAACUUCAGGAAACUGGGGCUAAUACCGGAUAGGAGCUCCUGCUGCAUGGUGGGGGUUGGAAAGUUUCGGCGGUUGGGGAUGGACUCGCGGCUUAUCAGCUUGUUGGUGGGGUAGUGACUUACCAAGGCUUUGACGGGUAGCCGGCCUGAGAGGGUGGCCGGCCACAUUGGGACUGCGAUACGGCCCAGACUCCUACGGGGGGCAGCAGUGGGGAAUAUUGCACAAUGGGCGGAAGCCUGAUGCAGCAACGCCGCGUGCGGGAUGAAGGCCUUCGGGUUGUAAACCGCUUUCGCCUGUGACGAAGCGUGAGUGACGGUAAUGGGUAAAGAAGCACCGGCUAACUACGUG